CCUAACCUUAGAGCAUUGCAGGUGUGGCGGCUGGGUCACAUGUGCAUCAGUAGGUGGCAGAGGAAAGACAGGUAUGUCUAAGCUCAUUGUUCUAACCUAUAAACUUCUAACGAUUAGUAGCCUAACACU
ensembl:snoRNA